UAGCGUUGAAACCAUGCUUGAGAAAUGGAAAAGUAAGGAGGGCAAAGAGAUAGAAGUGUUCCAAGAGUUCAGAUUAUUGACUUCAGAAGUGAUAUCCAGAACCGCCUUUGGUAGCAGUUACUUGGAAGGGGAGAAGAUUUUUGACAUGCUGAUGAAGUUGACAGUAAUUGCAGGCAGAAAUAUUUUUAAAGCAAAGAUUCCCAUCAUCAGGUAACUUCAUCAAAUCUUUACUUUGUUAAUCAACAUACUUCAGCUUACAAUGGGUUGAUUUAAUCUGGUUGUCCUUUUCAGCAAGUUUUGGAAAUCUGCUGAUGAAAUUGAAUCAGAAAGAAUUGCCAAAAUGAUACAUGAUUCUGUGAUGAGGAUUGUUAAAAAAAGGGAAGAGAGAGUAGUGAACGGAGAAGCUGAUAACUUCGGUCGUGAUUUUCUGGGAUUACUUAUAAAUGCUUAUCAUGAGGCGGACCAGAAAAACAGGCUUUCGAUUCAAGAUUUGGUAGAUGAGUGUAAAACUUUUUAUUUUGCUGGGCAAGAAACAGUCAAUUCCUUGCUGGCAUGGGCAACUCUGCUUUUAGCAAUACACACCGAUUGGCAAGACAAAGCAAGAGCAGAGGUGAUUGAGGUCUUUGGUAAUCAAAACCCAGAUUCUGAAGGGAUGGCCAAAUUAAAGACGGUAAGCAAACUAUACAAAUUCAAUAGCUUGAAAACUAACACUGACCAUUUAUAUUGCCUUUUGGAUUUUUUUUUUCUCCAACAGAUUACCAUGAUUAUCAAUGAAACUUUACGGCUCUAUCCUCCUAUAAAUCGCGUGAUAAGAGAAGUAGGAAGAGAAGUCCAAUUAGGAAAACUUGUCCUGCCUACUCAUUCAGAGGUCGACAUGCAAAUCAUAGCACUUCACCAUGACCCUGACUUAUGGGGAGAUGAUGUUAACCUUUUCAAACCAGAGAGGUUUGCUGAAGGGAUAGCGAAAGCUACUAAGUACAAUGCAGCUGCAUUUAUGCCUUUUGGAUUGGGACCUCGAUCUUGCGUAGGCAUGAGCUUUGCAAUCACUGAAGUGAAAACUGCACUUUCCAUGAUUCUGCAACGCUAUACUUUCACCGUCUCCCCUACCUAUGUUCACGCACCUGCACCACGUCUUUCACUCAAGCCACAACAUGGGAUUCAGUUGUUGUUUCAUUCACUACAUUAUGAUGCUUAAAAUUCUAGGCUGUUGGUCUCCAAUAUUGUAAUAUAUAAUAAAAUGUGGAUGAUACUGUAUUUUGCAACCAUACGAUGAUAUAUGGUUUGGGGAUUUCAUGUUUUGGCAACAAGAUUAUAUGCUUUUUGUUGUUGUUGAUAUUGUUAAAGGUUAAAAAGGUAUUACAGCAAACAUCGCCACCGCAGGAGCAGGCCCUACGGUCCACCAAAGAGAAAUCAAUUCAAACUACCCCAAAAAGCUGGAACGGCAGCAGCAAAUCGAGUCAGCUCCCUGAACAUCAUACAGCAACACAGAAAGAAGAACAUCACAACCCAGUCAUAUACACGCCAUGAAGACAUUGGACUCCACAUUUUGCUAAAGUAUCAGCAAAGCAGCUAGAUUCUUUAUACACAUUCACAAUGGAGACAUUAUGGGAUCUCAUCACAGAGCUUAGAAUAUGACCCAUCCAGCAUUUGAGAAACAGUGAAGAUGUCAAGUCCAGGAGCUCCAAACAAUGCCUUGGCCGCUGGAUCCUAUAAUUAGGUGUCUUUCUUCCAUUACUACUGCAGUAGUGAAGUUUUUAUUCCACUUGGUUCCCAUCUUCCAGAGUUUCUGCUUGAAACACUCACUCCUGGAGCCGGCCAUUACAUUGCUUGUUAGCUUUCAUGGAAGGCUCGAAGCUCAUUAGACCAGAAACAUUGUUACUUUGCCUAUGUAUCUAUUUGACAUAUUCUCUUAAGGAAGAGCUACUUAUAUCAAGGCUCCAUCUUUCUGAGUUGCAGGGCAAAAGUCCGUUCUCCAUGCAAAACUACCCAUUUCCACUAAAGCACACUAGCUUUCGCCAUCCCAUCCGCGAAAAAACCUGAAAUGAUACACCAGAAACUCCCUCAAGACAGACAGAGCCAAGUCACUUUCUCGCUAAUCCCCAUUGAACCCUCCAAUUAAGCAAAGCCAUUUCAUAUUUCAACCCAAUGGCCACCACAAUUGCCGUACAAAAUUUACAAAUUAAAAUGCAAAAAGUAAUACAGAAAAAUACACAGCCCAAGCUCCAAUAGUAACAUAAACAUUCAUUUUAUAACAAUAAAGUUAAAGCCACGAAUAUUUUCAAAAAAAUUCAAUUAAGCCCUUGAAUGUUAAAAUUUCAAUCAAUUAAGCUCUUUGAUAGUUAAAGUUAACAGUUAAUUGUUAUAGUUAAAAUUUCAAUCAAUUAAGGUACGGUGUAGCGUUUGUUUACCCAUCGUUUAACCAUGUGGUUGAAGGUUCGAUCCCCACUUAUGGAAAUGAAGCACAUUUCAUAGUCAGUCAUUUACCUAUUUGGAGAGCACUUAUAGUGAGAAGAUUAACUACUGUUGUUGUUGGUGAAUUCCCUGAUUAUUACAAAUAAAAAAUAACAAUUGUCAUUUUUUUUGGAUUAUUUUUGCCACGUGCCAUGCUAAGAUUGUGCCACGUGGUAUAAAAUUAUAAAAAUCAUAUAAAAAUUAUACAAGAAUUAUAAAAAUGAAUAAAAUUAGAAAAAAUAUAUAAAAAAUCUAUUUUUAAAAGGUUAAUAAAUUUAAUAUUUUAUUAUUUUGAAAAGGAUAAUAAAUUUUUAAAAGGUUUUUUUAUUCUUAAAUUUUUAAGGGCUAUUUAAAUUUAAUUUCAAAAUAAAGCAUGCCUAAUAUAUAAAUAGACAUUUAAUUGGUGUCCAACAGGAAUGGCGUCACUCCUAUUUUUCAUCUAGUUUAAAAAUGAUAAUUAAUUCAUCAGGUGUCUGAACAUUUUUAUUUAUUCUUCAAUUCAAUGUCACAAAAAACAAUGACAACAUCCAAAAUAUUUUUUUUUUUUAAAAUGAGUCACCGACAUUUAUGGUUUAAAAUGAGUUUCAAAAUAAGUUAUUUUUAUAAAUAAUUAAAAGUUUUGGGUAUUUUUAAUAAAAAAAGCCUAAGUUUGAUGAAUGGCGUCAGCCAUUAUGUAGGUCUACUUAAUACGAAAACGACGGCUUGAUUUUGUUGGCCAAAAGGAAAGUACCUUUUGGGUUUUGCUUUGCCCAAAUGCUAGCAAAGUCUUUGCAUGCAUUUGUUUGAUUGGAAAAGUGAGAAAUAGAUGAACAUGGUAAGCACAAAUUCUAGACAUUACCAUAUCACCUAUAAAAUUUAGUUAUCUUUUUAAUUUCUUUUGGUGUAUUAUAAAAAAAAAAUUCUAAUAACACGACUUGAAUCAAAUCAUAUCUUAGUCAAGAGAUGGGGUUAUUUUAAUUUUUGUUUAUAAAAAAAAAAUCUUGUUCAUUGAGGGCCCUAGUAGGAGGUAUUGAAUAAUAACUAGAAGUCAAAUCCUGCACGCUUCCCAUUUCUGUGUAUUGAAUUGGCUGUAAUUUUCAAAGGACAUGAACCUUGAAGAGGGACAAGUGUAGUCUCUUGAUGAUAAAUGUGUUGACUGUCACCUUGCAAAACCCAGAUUACCAUAACAGAUGCAAAAUCUGAUCGGUGAAGAUAAGAAAAUGGAGACCAUGGGAAAUCUUCUAAUCCUGUUUACAGCUUCUUUAUGCCUCUAUCUUUUCGUUGCUUUGCUCAAUGUUUUCUACAAGUAUUGCUGGAUACCUCAACGGGUACAGUUCAUCAUGAAUUCACAAGGAAUCAGAGGACCUCCUUAUGAAUUUAUCCAUGGAAACAACAAAGAAGCUGCCCAAAUGCUCAUGGAAGCAUCUACCAAACCUAUGGCCUUGACACACGAUAUAUUUCCCAGAGUCAUGCCUCAUGUUUACUCCUGGAUCAACAAAUACGGUGAGAAUAUGUUUUUUUUAUCUUUUUUGGGUAGUAUUUUCUGAUUAACCUCCACUUUCCAUGAAGAGAAAUCAUUUUCUUUCAGGGAAGACUUAUCUUAGUUGGAAUGGAAUUCGAGCUCAACUGCUAAUUACAGACCCAGAUCUAGUCAAAGAGGUCCUUAAAAACAGUGACAAAGCUUUUCGAAAGCCAAAGGCUUCAUAUUUCUUCGACAAGCUACUAGGCGAUGGGCUUGCUUCAACCGAACGUGAGAAAUGGGCAAGGCAAAGGAAACUGGCCAAUUAUGCCUUUCAUGGGGAGAGCUUAAAAGUAAAUCAUCUCUACCUUCUAAUCUAAUUAUUGUAGUGCGACAUUUACAAACUUGAUCAUUUUUUGCAGAAUAUGACUCCAGCAGUAGUUGCUAGCGUUGAAACCAUGCUUGAGAAAUGGAAAAGUAAGGAGGGCAAAGAGAUAGAAGUGUUCCAAGAGUUCAGAUUAUUGACUUCAGAAGUGAUAUCCAGAACCGCCUUUGGUAGCAGUUACUUGGAAGGGGAGAAGAUUUUUGACAUGCUGAUGAAGUUGUCAGUAAUUGCAGGCAGAAAUAUUUUUAAAGCAAAGAUUCCCAUCAUCAGGUAACUUCAUCAAAUCUUUACUUUGUUAAUCAACAUACUUCAGCUUACAAUGGGUUGAUUUAAUCUGGUUGUCCUUUUCAGCAAGU
rnacentral:lncRNA from 1 species